GGGGAAGUGGCGGAAUCGGCAGACGCGCACGGCUUAGGACCGUGUGCCGCAAGGCGUGGGGGUUCGAGUCCCCCCUUCCCCACCA
rnacentral:tRNA from 1 species